CCGACACUCUUCACGACAUAUUUCAACAGCGCUCCUUCCUAAUAUGAGAAGAAAAAAGGAUGUGUGGGGUGAACAGCUUCUUGCAUAACCGAGGGCAAUUCAGCACAUGAUUAAUGGAGCAUAAGAGCAGCUUUUUUUUUCCACCAGCAAUACGCUAAACAUUUGACGCUUUACGACAAGCCUUGCUUGGACCAUCCUUCAUAUGACAGUUCCAGCGGCAGACGAUGAUUGUGCAAUGGAGAAAGAAGAGGCAAUCAAGACAACUAUAGACCUCACCUGGUAUGUUCUGUUCACAAGAUUUGCACCUGAUUCUGCUUUCGAGUUUCGUGUGGAAGACCAGUGGAUGCUGAUGGUCACAAUUGUAAAAAACCAAGUCCUUCUUGCCCUUCAGGUCUUGCAAACAUAGAGUUGAAGCCACGCAGUCUAUGUCGAGGCUGAAUUUGCAUUUACUGCAGUAGGAAACCAUGGCAGACGUUAUGUUUAGCUCCUCAAAUUUAUUCAAAGCAGGAGAGAGAGGGUAAUUAUGGAGACAGGUGUUGCAUCUCUGGGGGAGAUUUGGUGUAGCUUUUGUGGAGAAAGAAUAUGUACGCAUAGCAUCCAUAGGCCUCCCCCAAGAUUGCCUACUCGCAGGCUUUGCAUUCGAUUCUAUUUUUCAUCCCGAGAUGAUGGGAUGUGAGCAGAUGCUCAUGAGCAUUUUUCGGAUGGCCACAUUCUGAGAAUCCUCAUUAGGAGGACAAGCAAUCUUGGGCCGUGCAGUAACAAUUGAUGGAUCCAACUGGCAAGAGAAG
rnacentral:lncRNA from 1 species